GGAAAUACUGGAGCUAAUACAUGCAACUAAACCCCAACGUAAGGCGGGGUGCAAUUAUUAGAACAGACCAAACGUUUUCGGACGUUGUUUGUUGACUCUGAAUAAAGCAGUUUACUGUCAGUUUCGACUGACUCUAUCCGAAAAGGGUGUCUGCCCUUUCAACUAGAUGGUAGUUUAUUGGACUACCAUGGUUGUUACGGGUAACGGAGAAUAAGGGUUCGACUCCGGAGAGGGAGCCUUAGAAACGGCUACCACGUCCAAGGAAGGCAGCAGGCGCGAAACUUAUCCACUGUUGAGUAUGAGAUAGUGACUAAAAAUAUAAAGACUCAUCCUUUUGGAUGAGUUAUUUCAAUGAGUUGAAUACAAAUGAUUCUUCGAGUAGCAAGGAGAGGGCAA
rnacentral:rRNA from 1 species